UGCCCAGCAACUCCUCUCCCUACCUCCUCGUGGUACUGGCCGGGGUACGAGUAACCUUGGGGAAGAUCGGGUAACCAACCCCCGGUGGGAACUUUGGUCGUAUGCUGACAGGGAAGG
rnacentral:ribozyme from 1 species